rnacentral:lncRNA from 1 species
CUUAACUUAGUAGGGCUUUUUUAUCAUCAUUAGUAAGGUGUAAGUAAGGCAUUUUCAAAGCCCACCUACCUACCUUUUAGUUAGGGCAGGCUAUUGAACCCGAUCAACUCCUUUUAUGACAUUAUUCGCUGUCUCAGAGUUGUCAUAUUCCUAUUAAUAAUUGUGAUAGCUUUUAUAGGAUAUGUACCACCUUAGGGUC